rnacentral:rRNA from 1 species
GACGAACCGUGCGAACGUUGUUCGGAAUCACUGGGCUUAAAGGGCGCGUAGGCGGCCGGGUUGGUCGUGGGUGAAAUCCCCCAGCUUAACUGGGGAAGGGCCUACGAUACUGCCUGGCUCGAGGGAGGAAGGGGCGGUCGGAACUGUCGGUGGAGCGGUGAAAUGCGUUGAUAUCUGGAGGAAUACCGGUGGCGAAGGCGGCAUCCUGGACCGGCAUUGACGCUGAGGAGCGAAAGCUAGGGGAGCAAACGGG